GAUGAAGAACGCAGCGAAAUGCGAUAAGUAAUGUGAAUUGCAGAAUUCAGUGAAUCAUCGAAUCUUUGAACGCACCUUGCGCCCUUUGGACAUUCCGAAGGGCAUGCCUGUUUGAGUAUCAUGAACACCUCAACUCUCACGGCUUGUCCGUGAUGAGCUUGGACUUUGGGGGUCUUGCCGGCCUGUGGUCGGCUCCUCUCAAAUGGAUCAGCUUGCCAGUGUUUGGUGGCAUCACAGGUGUGAUAACUAUCUGCGCUUGUGGUUUUCCAUCAGAUAACCUUCAGUGAUAUGGAGGUUCGCUGGAGCUCACAAAUGUCUCUCCUUAGUGAGGACAGCUCUUUGAACGUUUGAUCUCAAAUCAGGUAGGACUACCCGCUUAACUUAAGCAUAUCAAUAAGCGGAGGA
rnacentral:misc_RNA from 1 species